rnacentral:rRNA from 1 species
AACCUAAAGAAUUUGGCGGUGUUUUAAAUAAUUGGAGGAACCUGUUAUUUAAAUGAUAAUCCACAUCAUAUCUUUACUAAAUUAAGUUUGUAUAUCAUUGUUUUAGAUAAUAUUUAAAAAUUAUUGUCAAAUUUGAUUUAUCUUAAAAAUCAAAUCAAGGUGCAGCAUAUUUAGGUUAUAAUGGGUUACAAUAUAUUUUAUAUAUGAAUACAAAAUGAAAAAUUUGUUGAAAAUGGAUUCAAAAGUAAAAUAAAAUUAAAAUGUUUAUUUGAUUAAAAAUUUAAAACAUGCACACAU